AUUUUAUUGGAAUUGUCAAAAUCUUGAACAUGACAUGUGAACAUAAAUGCGUAAUUGAGGGGUUCAGCUGGUACCAAGAGGAGAAGGAAACACCCCCCCCCCCCCAACACACACCACCAUUAAGACCCUCGAAAAUGUGAGAAUAAUUACCCUGGAACCAAACGUUGAAAUAAACUCCCUAUAAAAAGAGAGAAGAAUUGUCUUUACGAAACGUACUCUUUAUUCAUUAGAUAUCCAUUUUUUUUAUAAUGGUGUCUUUUGAAGGUAAUUUGCCAUUUCUUACUAGGAAUAUGCAAUCUGCAAACUUACAAAUCGGAAAAUAAUGUCAUAUUCAAGAAUUUAUAUUUCAAAUUGGUGAAUAUGUUUCUUCUACAAAUUUGUUUCUUUAAAAACGCGAAUCGUGAACUGAGUGUGUACAUUAUUAACAUCAAUGUACAAAUUACUGGUAUACUAUUUAUCAAAAUUGAAAAAUUAAUUUCUGGGGAGGGGAGGUGUGAAUGUUGGUUGUUGGAUUUGUUAAUAGACAAAUACUUAUUUAUAAGAAGAAUCCCUCUAAAUAACUAUUAGUCUUUUAACAAAAUCAACAACCAAAAUACACGUCUCCCCUCUACAGAAAUGUAUUAUUUUUAAAUUAAGCAGACGUGCAUUUUGGUUGUUGAUUUAUUUUAAUAGACGAAUAUUUUUUUAGAAGAUAAAAAAAUCCCUCUAAAUAACUAUUAGUCUUUUAACUAAAUCAACAACCAAAAUACACGUCUCCCCUCUACAGAAAUGUAUUAUUUUUAAAUUAAGGAGACGUGCAUUUUGGUUGUUGAUUUUGUUAAUAGACAAAUAUGUAUUUAGAAGAAAGGUGAAGAAGAAGAAUUCCCCUAAAUAACCAUUAGUCUUUUAACAAUAUCAACAACCAAAAUACCCGUCUCCCCUCUACAGAAAUGUAUUAUUUUUAAAUUAAAGAGACGUGCAUUUUGGUUGUUGAUUUAUUUUAAUAGACGAAUAUUUUUUUAGAAGAUAAAAAAAUCCCUCUAAAUAACUAUUAGUCUUUUAACAAAAUCAACUAUCCAUCUCCCAUCCACUGAAAUGUAUAUUUAAAUUUUGACAAAACGCAUACCCGUAAUUUGUACAUCGUUGUUAUUUAUAUCUGGACAUUUUAUUUAACGAUUCACGUUCUUAAAGAAACAAAUUUUCAGAAGCAAUUAACUUAUCCACCAAAUUUGAAAUAUAAAUUCG
rnacentral:lncRNA from 1 species